UGAGUCCUCGGGACCCCAGACCAGCAGUUGAGAGCGGCAUCUGCCAAGGCUCCCCGUGACCUCGGGGAUGUGAAAAAGUAGGGAAGUUCACGGUCUCCCCACCCCUGCCCACCUCUUUCUUCAGCUUUCCGUUAUUGCCAUUCCAUUUUUUCCUGGAUGCCCUGUGGACAGCAUCUCUUCCUUUAAGCCUGUGUAAAAAGGUGCAGGGUGGGGGAUAAGGUAAACUCCCCAAAGUGAUGAAGCCGCUUCUCCCUGUGGUCCUUAGCUCAGUCUCUGAUCUGGGGGUGGCAGAGCCAUUCGCAGUGGGAGUGAAAGGAGACUCGGAGGUGGCGGAUUCGAGUCCCUGUUCCAGGGCUGGGCCAUUCGAUUCCCCGCCUUUCCCCCCACAUCUCUAAAGUGGCGGUGCUUCAUUAAUUGCUUGGAAGCACUUUCUAACCUCCUAGGUGAUUCAGGUGAUUCUAACCUCCUAGGCUCUCCCACCCCAGUGUUUUGUUACAAUAUUGGUUAAGUAAUGCUCAUUUAUGCAUUUUGUGGAUCACCUUCCAAUGCCCUUGUCACGGAUGCCUUCAUGGAACCAUGAGUUGAAUAGUCAUGGAUUUGUCACGAUUCCUUCUAAGUGCUGAUCAUUACGAAAGAGUGUUUUCUGUUAAACAGCCUGGGACAGGGACCAGGAAGACUGGUCCCGAAGCUGCCACAGUGAGGUUGUGUGUCUUAAGAAAACCACACACUGUCUGUGGCUCAGUCUUGUAAGCCCACAUUCAGCAAAGAUGUUGACUAGAAAACAAAGAGCAUUCAGAAGAGGCCAACUAGGAUGGUAAAGACUUCAAACUAUAUCCCAGAAAAGUAGUUGAACAACCCAGAGAAGCUUGGAGAAGACCCGUUGCUGUUGUGAGCGCUACUUGGAGGGCUAAGUCUGGAUGACCCCACUGUCACUAGGAGGCCAUCGCAAAAGGAGUCAGAUGAGAAGAGGACUUCCCAUCUGCUGCUCUAAUCAGAAGGAAAAAUAAGGAUAGUCAAAUUUUAUCAUAAAGCUAGACUCGUUCCUUUUAA